rnacentral:rRNA from 1 species
AUUGAACGCUGGCGGCAGGCCUAACACAUGCAAGUCGAACGGGUGGCGGACGUGUGAGGAAUGUCUGGGAAACUGCCUGAUGGAGGGAGAUAACUACUGGAAACGGUAGAUAAUACCGCAUACUAUCGGAUGUGCCCAUAUGGGAUUAGCUAGUAGGUGGGGUAACGGCUCACCUAGGCGACGGUCCCUAGCUGGUCUGAGAGGAUGACCAGCCAAACUGGAACGGAGACACGGCCCAGACUCCUACGGGCGGGAGCAGUGGGGAAUAUUGCACCAUGGGCGCAAGCCUGAUGCAGCCAUGCCGCGUGUAUGAAGAAGGCCUUCGGGUUGUAAAGUACUUUCAGCGGGGAGGCGUUACCCACAGAAGAAGCACCGGCUAACUCCGUGCCAGCAGCCGCGGUAAUUC